CAAGUCACGGGGGCCCGCAAGGGUAACCGGCGAACGGGUGCGUAACACGUGAGCAAUCUGCCGUCCACUGGGGGAUAGCCGGCCCAACGGCCGGGUAAUACCGCAUACGUUCCCUUGCCGGCAUCGGUGAGGGAGGAAACCUCUGGGGGUGGACGAGGAGCUCGCGGCCUAUCAGCUAGUUGGUGGGGUAACGGCCUACCAAGGCAAUGACGGGUAGCUGGUCUGAGAGGAUGGCCAGCCACAUUGGGACUGAGAUACGGCCCAGACUCCUACGGGAGGCAGCAGUGGGGAAUAUUGCGCAAUGGCCGCAAGGCUGACGCAGCGACGCCGCGUGGGGGAUGGAGCAUUUCGGUGUGUAAACCCCUGUUGCCCGGGACGAACCGCUCGUUUCGACGAGUCUGACGGUACCGGGUGAGGAAGCACCGGCUAACUCCGUGCCAGCAGCCGCGGUAAUACGGAGGGUGCGAGCGUUGUCCGGAAUCACUGGGCGUAAAGGGCGCGUAGGCGGUCUGCUAAGCGUGUGGUGAAAGCUCGGGGCUCAACCCUGAGUCGGCCAUGCGAACUGGUGGACUGGAGCACUGUAGAGGCAGGUGGAAUUCCGGGUGUAGCGGUGGAAUGCGUAGAGAUCCGGAAGAACACCGGUGGCGAAGGCGGCCUGCUGGGCAGUAGCUGACGCUGAGGCGCGACAGCGUGGGGAGCA
rnacentral:rRNA from 1 species